UCGUAAGACCCCUUGAAGACGACGAGGUUGAUAGGCCUGAGGUGGAAGUGCAGCAAUGCAUGGAGCUGACAGGUACUAAUCGGUCGAGGGCUUAUCCA
rnacentral:rRNA from 1 species